rnacentral:rRNA from 1 species
UACAGAGGGUGCGAGCGUUAAUCGGAAUUACUGGGCGUAAAGCGUGCGUAGACGGUAGCGUAAGUCAGAUGUGAAAGCCCCGGGCUCAACCUGGGAAUUGCAUUUGAGACUGCUCUGCCCGGGUGCGGAAGAGGGAAGCGGAAUUUCCGGUGUAGCGGUGAAAUGCGUAGAUAUCGGAAGGAACACCAGUGGCGAAAGCGGCUUCCUGGUCCGACACCGACGUUCAGGCACGAAAGCGUGGGGAGCAAACAGG